AUGCUGGGCUUAUAUUGUGGUAAUGCUGCUGACAACAAUUCCUCGCAGAAUCGUGUUUGAAAUCCAGGAAUGGCUGGAGGAUAUCCUCAAAAAGGUUAUCAAACUCAACCUCCUACAAGCUGGGCUCCUCUUGGUGCGCAGAUGCAAAAACAUGGUUCUGGUUACCUCCAACCUGGAACAUAUCCAGGUCCAUCUCCCCAAUAUAACACGUCUCAAUCAGCCUACCCUAGUUACCCUCCACAACAGGCCUCUAGUGGAUAUGCAUCUGGUCGGGAUCAGACAACUUCACCAAAUCAGCAAACGUCUCAGGUAGGUGGUUAUGAUUACUAUAGUCAGCAGGCACCCCCACAACAACAACAAACACCUGGAGGUUCAGCUGCUUCAACCGAUACUAUUGCCUAUGGUUAAAAUCAGCCUUCAGCCACAAGUUACAACCAGGGACAGAGCUACUCCCAAGAUGGCUAUGGUGGAUAUUAUGCACCUGCUGCUCAAUCUGGUUAUCAGGAUACUGGUUAUGAUCAGCAACAAGGUUAUAGUGCUACUCCGAGCUAUGGGAAUGUACCGAACCCUACUUCUGAUGGCCACAACACUUUACAUGGUAGUGAUGGCAAUCAAGCACCUGCACCAGUUCAGUCAUCAGUGGGCCAACAAGGCUAUCAGUCUGGCCAGCAGCCCAGCCCUACUCCUAGUUGCCCAUCUCAAGGCUCUACUCAAUCUGGGUAUGGGAUGCCACCACUUCCCAAGGUGGUUAUGGUACCCAAUCUCCAACAGGUUAUGGCGCCCAUCCAGCAGCAGGUUAUGGGUCCCCUCAAGCCCAAAAGCCUCCGACUAGUCAUCCAGCUUAUGGUCAGCCUCAACAAUCUUCUAGUGCACAAGGUGGCUAUGCCCAACCUCCACCGGUGCAGCCCGGGUAUCCACAGGCAGCAACUGCUCAAUUAGGUUAUGGUCAGGGUGAAUCUGGGACUCAGCGACCUCCAUCCUCUUAUGGCCCUCCAACAGCUCACCCUGGGUAUGGGGAUGCUAGCUAUGGGCAGCUGCCACCACCUUACAGUAGUGGCUAUGCUGGCAGUAAUGUGCAACCUCUGGCAGCGUACUCUACUGAUGGCAAUGGUGGUGCAAAUCCAAAAAUCCCAGUCUGUUCAACCUAGUAAUGAGGGGGUUCCAAAAGCCCCACCUCAGAGUUAAUGGAUGCUACUUGGAAGGAUCAAGUGAUAGCUAGCUCCCUUAUAUAUUGUUUCCUUAUUUUGUUAUGCUUUACUUUGGUAUUAUGUUAGGUUUCUGGUGCAUUAAGAGAGUCUGAAACUUCAGUUUGUUUGUCUCUUUGAGUACCUAUGUGAUCAUGUUGGUCAAACCUUUUUUCUUCUUUCUAAUAUAAGAACUCUUAAAAGGAUGUUUCUUUGUA